CGGCAGCACGGACUUCGGUCUGGUGGCGAGUGGCGAACGGGUGAGUAAUGUAUCGGAACGUGCCUAGUAGCGGGGGAUAACUACGCGAAAGCGUAGCUAAUACCGCAUACGCCCUACGGGGGAAAGCAGGGGAUCGCAAGACCUUGCACUAUUAGAGCGGCCGAUAUCGGAUUAGCUAGUUGGUGGGGUAACGGCUCACCAAGGCGACGAUCCGUAGCUGGUUUGAGAGGACGACCAGCCACACUGGGACUGAGACACGGCCCAGACUCCUACGGGAGGCAGCAGUGGGGAAUUUUGGACAAUGGGGGAAACCCUGAUCCAGCCAUCCCGCGUGUGCGAUGAAGGCCUUCGGGUUGUAAAGCACUUUUGGCAGGAAAGAAACGUUCCGGGUUAAUACCCCGGGAAACUGACGGUACCUGCAGAAUAAGCACCGGCUAACUACGUGCCAGCAGCCGCGGUAAUACGUAGGGUGCAAGCGUUAAUCGGAAUUACUGGGCGUAAAGCGUGCGCAGGCGGUUCGGAAAGAAAGAUGUGAAAUCCCAGAGCUUAACUUUGGAACUGCAUUUUUAACUACCGAGCUAGAGUGUGUCAGAGGGAGGUGGAAUUCCGCGUGUAGCAGUGAAAUGCGUAGAUAUGCGGAGGAACACCGAUGGCGAAGGCAGCCUCCUGGGAUAACACUGACGCUCAUGCACGAAAGCG
rnacentral:rRNA from 1 species